rnacentral:rRNA from 1 species
UAGAAGUUUUUGAUUUCUGCUCAGAUUGAACGCUGGCGGCAGGCCUAACACAUGCAAGUCGAGCGGAUGAAGGGAGCUUGCUCCUGGAUUCAGCGGCGGACGGGUGAGUAAUGCCUAGGAAUCUGCCUGGUAGUGGGGGAUAACGUCCGGAAACGGGCGCUAAUACCGCAUACGUCCUGAGGGAGAAAGUGGGGGAUCUUCGGACCUCACGCUAUCAGAUGAGCCUAGGUCGGAUUAGCUAGUUGGUGGGGUAAAGGCCUACCAAGGCGACGAUCCGUAACUGGUCUGAGAGGAUGAUCAGUCACACUGGAACUGAGACACGGUCCAGACUCCUACGGGAGGCAGCAGUGGGGAAUAUUGGACAAUGGGCGAAAGCCUGAUCCAGCCAUGCCGCGUGUGUGAAGAAGGUCUUCGGAUUGUAAAGCACUUUAAGUUGGGAGGAAGGGCAGUAAGUUAAUACCUUGCUGUUUUGACGUUACCAACAGAAUAAGCACCGGCUAACUUCGUGCCAGCAGCCGCGGUAAUACGAAGGGUGCAAGCGUUAAUCGGAAUUACUGGGCGUAAAGCGCGCGUAGGUGGUUCAGCAAGUUGGAUGUGAAAUCCCCGGGCUCAACCUGGGAACUGCAUCCAAAACUACUGAGCUAGAGUACGGUAGAGGGUGGUGGAAUUUCCUGUGUAGCGGUGAAAUGCGUAGAUAUAGGAAGGAACACCAGUGGCGAAGGCGACCACCUGGACUGAUACUGACACUGAGGUGCGAAAGCGUGGGGAGCAAACAGGAUUAGAUACCCUGGUAGUCCACGCCGUAAACGAUGUCGACUAGCCGUUGGGAUCCUUGAGAUCUUAGUGGCGCAGCUAACGCGAUAAGUCGCCACGGCCUGCGGUUAGCCGCAAUCC